rnacentral:miRNA from 1 species
AAGUGUAUGUAUGUAUGUAUUUACGUAUGUGUGUGUAUACAUGUAUAUGUUAUAUACAUACACACAUAUACAUACA